GUGCAUGCUUCGGCAACACAUACAUUAAAAUUGGAAUGAUACAGAGAUUAGCUUGGCCCCUCAGUGAGGAUGACACACACAUUUGAGAAGUGUUCCACUGUAAA
ensembl:snRNA Gm25294 U6 spliceosomal RNA